AAACCAACAGGGAUUGCCUCAGUAGCGGCGAGUGAAGCGGCAAAAGCUCCAUUUUGAAAGCUCUUCGGAGCGUUGUAGAUUGGUGGGAAGCUAACGGCUGGUGGGAGACCAAGUCCUCUGGAACGAGGCGCCAUAGAGGGUGAGAGCCCCGUGUGUCUCCUUUACCGACCUUUCAGCCCCUCCGCGGAGUCGAGUUGUUUGGGAAUGCAGCUCUAAGUGGGUGGUAAAUUCCAUCUAAGGCUAAAUAUUGGCGAGAGACCGAUAGCGAACAAGUACAGUGAUGGAAAGAUGAAAAGCACUUUGAAAAGAGAGUGAAACAGUACGUGAAAUUGUUGAAAGGGAGGGUAUUUGGCCGACAUGGGUCCUAUGCACCGUUUGCCUCUCGUGGGCGGCGCUCUGCUUGGGCCUGGGCCAGCGUCAGUUUGAGGGGGUCGAGAAGGUUUUGGGAGUUGCCUAGGCAAUUCCCCUUUGCUAGAUUGCCCCCAGACCGGACUUGAGGACCGCCGAU
rnacentral:rRNA from 1 species